AUACGUAGGGUGCGAGCGUUGUCCGGAAUUACUGGGCGUAAAGAGCUCGUAGGUGGUUUGUCGCGUCGUCUGUGAAAUUCCGGGGCUUAACUCCGGGCGUGCAGGCGAUACGGGCAUAACUUGAGUACUGUAGGGGAGACUGGAAUUCCUGGUGUAGCGGUGAAAUGCGCAGAUAUCAGGAGGAACACCGGUGGCGAAGGGGGGUCUCUGGGCAGUAACUGACGCUGAGGAGCGAAAGCAGGGGUAGCGAACAGGAUUAGAUACCCUGGUAGUCCAUGCCGUAAACGGUGGGCGCUAGGUGUAGGGGCCUUCCACGACUUCUGUGCCGUAGCUAACGCAUUAAGCGCCCCGCCUGGGGAGUACGGCCGCAAGGCUAAAACUCAAAUGAAUUGACGGGU
rnacentral:rRNA from 1 species